rnacentral:tRNA from 1 species
GUGGUGGCUCAGUGGUAGAGUGCUCGCCUAGCAUGCAUGAGGCCCUGGGUUCGAGCCUCGGCACCACA